GUGGAUUAGAUACCCUGGUAGUCCUAGCCCUAAACCAUCAGAACUUGGGGUGGCUCGCGUAGGCGGGUCGUCCCGUAGCUAACGCGUUAAGUUCUGCGCCUGGGGAGUACGGUCGCAAGACUGAAACUCAAAGGAAUUGACGGGGGCCCGCACAAGCGGUGGAACAUGUGGUUCAAUUCGACGCAACGCGAAGAACCUUACCUGGGCUUGAACCGCUACUGACCAACGGUAGAAAUAUCGUCUUCCCGCAAGGGACAGUAGUGGAGGUGCUGCACGGCCGUCGUCAACU
rnacentral:rRNA from 1 species